rnacentral:rRNA from 1 species
UGCGGUCGAGCGAAUGGAUUAAGAGCUUGUCUUAUGAAGUUAGCGGCGGACGGGUGAGUAACACGUGGGUAACCUGCCCAUAAGACUGGGAUAACUCCGGGAAACCGGGGCUAAUACCGGAUAACAUUUUGAACCGCAUGGUUCGAAAUUGAAAGGCGGCUUCGGCUGUCACUUAUGGAUGGACCCGCGUCGCAUUAGCUAGUUGGUGAGGUAACGGCUCACCAAGGCAACGAUGCGUAGCCGACCUGAGAGGGUGAUCGGCCAAACUGGGACUGAGACACGCCCCAGACUAAUACGGGAGGCAGCAGUAGGAAAUCUUCCGCAAUGGACGAAAGUCUGACGGAGCAACGCCGCGUGAGUGAUGAAGGCUUUCGGGUCGUAAAACUCUGUUGUUAGGAAAGAACAAGUGCUAGUUGAAUAAGCUGGCACCUUGACGGUACCUAACCAGAAAGCCACGGCUAACUACGUGCCAGCAGCCGCGGUAAUACGUAGGUGGCAAGCGUUAUCCGGAAUUAUUGCGCGUAAAGCGCGCGCAGGUGGUUUCUUAAGUCUGAUGUGAAAGCCCCACGGCUCAACCGUGGAGGGUCAUUGGAAACUGGGAGACUUGAGUGCAGAAGAGGAAAGUGGAAUUCCAUGUGUAGCGGUGAAAUGCGUAGAGAUAUGGAGGAACACCAGUGGCGAAGGCGACUUUCUUGUUCUGUAACUGACACUGAGGCGCGAAGCGUGGGGGAGCAAACAGGAUUAGAUACCCUGGUAGUCCACGCCGUAAUACGAUGAGUGCUAAGUGUUAGAGGUUUUCCGCCCUUUUAGUGCUGAAUGUUAACGUCAUUAAGCACCUCCGCCUGGGGAGUACGGGCGCUAUGCUUGAAACAUCAAAGAAUCGACGGGGGCCC